rnacentral:lncRNA from 1 species
CAGGAAAAGAGCUCCCUGGAGCUGGCGGGGCGGUGCCAGGUGGCCAGGCGGAUGCUGGCGGUCUGGUGCGUGCCUGCAUGCACACUUCUGGUCUCCAGCGGCGCUGUGCGCUGUGCGGGGGCAGUCCCAGCAGCCCCGGAGUCUGCAGUGAGUAAGACUACCCGGGAAAGAGUUUUUUUUGUUUGUUUGUUUGGUUGAUUGGUUUUUUUCGCCUUUAAAGGCAAGCGUUCCUGGCAGCCAGAAGAAAAAAAAUGCUUUGUUGAGUCAGCUGUAGCUGAUUCAAGUUGGUGCUGGCGGGGCUGGGGCUGGGAUGGGAGAGCCCCGAUCCAUAGGAGGUUCUGCCCCACACAGUCUCCCAGGCUGUGGGUAAACACGGCGGUGGACUCCUGGAAGGCCUGACAGGCCAGGCGGGACAGUUCUGUGUGCUUAAUAUUUUCCUUCUGACUUGCUCACCUGUUCCAACCACCUGCUCUCAGAGAAGUUUUCAGCUUCCUUUCUUUAUUGUUUCACCUACCCCUCUCCGGCCCUCUGCGCGCUGUCUCAUUAGGGCCACCACCUGCUCACCGCUGCUGAUGGGGAAUAUUGAAGGAACACUUGCCCCAUUCUCUUCUGGGCGCCAGGCUUGUCUGUCCAGCUGCCUCCAGAACAGCCCUCUGAAUGUUGCACAGACAGGCAUGUUCUGUGCCCCAUGGCAGAAUAUGACCACCACACAAUGCCAGAAUUUACCUGGGACCAUUUCAACAACCCUCAAGGCUGACUUGACUGUCUUCUGGUCUUGAUUCUAAGUUUCUAGAUGAGACAAGCAGAUCGGCUAAGUUUGGGUGAGAUGUCUGUCCUGGGUUCUAUUGGCUGUGAUCUGGUGAUGGGUCAUAGAAAAUAAACAAGGCUGGCAGUCCUCACCUCUGUGUGAGCGUGGGGUGGAGGAAGGAUGUUUGACUCCUGGUCACAUAGGCAAACAUGUGCAUCUGUUAAAAAGGUUAUUGAAUGGAGAGUUACGUUCAUUGACAUGGAAGGUCC